rnacentral:rRNA from 1 species
UCGAACGAUGAUGGGAGCUUGCUCCUGGAUUAGUGGCGAACGGGUGAGUAACACGUGAGUAGCCUGCCCUUAACUCUGGGAUAAGCCUGGGAAACUGGGUCUAAUACCAGAUAUGACUCCUCAUCGCAUGGUGGGGGGUGGAAAGCUUUAUUGUGGUUUUGGAUGGACUCGCGGCCUAUCAGCUUGUUGGUGAGGUAAUGGCUUACCAAGGCGACGACGGGUAGCCGGCCUGAGAGGGUGACCGGCCACACUGGGACUGAGACACGGCCCAGACUCCUACGGGAGGCAGCAGUGGGGAAUAUUGCACAAUGGGCGCAAGCCUGAUGCAGCGACGCCGCGUGAGGGAUGACGGCCUUCGGGUUGUAAACCUCUUUCAGUAGGGAAGAAGCGAAAGUGACGGUACCUGCAGAAGAAGCGCCGGCUAACUACGUGCCAGCAGCCGCGGUAAUACGUAGGGCGCAAGCGUUAUCCGGAAUUAUUGGGCGUAAAGAGCUCGUAGGCGGUUUGUCGCGUCUGCCGUGAAAGUCCGGGGCUCAACUCCGGAUCUGCGGUGGGUACGGGCAGACUAGAGUGAUGUAGGGGAGACUGGAAUUCCUGGUGUAGCGGUGAAAUGCGCAGAUAUCAGGAGGAACACCGAUGGCGAAG